AGUAGCCCACCGGGAUGAAAACAUUUGGGUCAAAGAAUUGGCCAAGAAAAUAAUUGUAGUUUUCAUGUUCGUUUGUUGUUUUAUAAUUUUUUUCUCCCCUGUACAAUAAACAAUAGUUUAGCAAUGUAACCAAGGCUAGACUACAACUCAACCUCAUCCUCCUUCCUGUCCAGAUACCAGGUGAUACUUCAUGGCUUAGUUCAGGUAUUUCAAUAUGGCUCAUUACCACUCUUGAAUAUUAUAUUUUUUCAUGUUCUUUGACAUCUAGGCUAUAUGUCAACUUUGUACAGGCUGGAUUCAGUUUGCAAGAGGAAACCUCAAUUGAGAAAAUUUAACUGAUUGGUCUGUUGGCAAACAUGAGGAACAUUUUCUUGAUUGAUGAUUGAUGUGGGAAGGUCCAUUCAAAAGAGAAUGCUGUAACCUCCAGGUUAGUGGUCUUGUGGGCGAGCACUGCUGCUAUGGCUGCUCUGAACAUUCUUGGCUGACAAGAAAACCCAGCUUCUCUGACUGCCAAUGUAUGCCAUUUUACAGUGGCUCUCUAGGAGUUGGUCUGCCUGAAUCGUUAGAAUGGGACAGUUGAGACAGAAUUUGAAGCAAUAUUGUUGCCUUUCUUAAAAUAUGCACCUGACAGCAAGAGGAAGGUAUGCACCUAAAUCAGUAAAGAAAUACAUCCAGCAAAAUUUUGUUUCUAGAGGCAAAUUUGUCAUAAAAUACAAAAUACUAGGAUAACAUCUCAAAAAUGAACCUGGAUGUUUGGAGCAUGACCUCUCAGGUAAGUACAAUAAGUCUCUGUAGGUACUCCUAGAAAUAUCUGGAUGCUAUUUUAGGUCUUAUGAAGCCUGGUUCUGCUGGAACAUGUAGUUGCUGACAUGAAAUAAAGUUCCAGGAUGUACUUAAUAAGCAAUGAAAGGAAAUUUCCAUUGUUGGUUCCCUUCUGUUACCAGCUCAGAGUGUGUUCUGUAAUAUGGCAUUGAAUUUGUGUGAAAAUAAUACCAUCAUUAGGUUAUUCCUCCAAAUUGAAGCAUCCUGUCCUCCAGAGAAGUCAGCUCAGAAAGACUGAGGAAACCAACAAGGACCACUAUGUUCAAAGUUCAAAGCCUCAAGAUUUACAGGCCAUCUCACCAAGACUACCCAAUCAGCAUACAAUUUCCCUGAGGUAUAAUACUCUUCAAAGGCUCUUCCUGCAAUUUGAAAAAGGAAUGCCAGGGCUGCUUUCUUCCUGAGUUGUCAACUCUGUUGAUGUGUACUAUUUAAGUGAUGCAGCUCCCUUUGAGUCAUCCACUCUUCUGUAAAUUAAUCAAGCAUAUUCUAUAAUUCACUCCAUAAACUCAUUGGAUCUACUUGGGUGAAAUCUUUCUUUGAACUGUUGGCAGUGCCCUGUGCCUGGUAAAUAAUAUUCUUGCUCAUAGCUCGUAGUCCAAUCAGUCACCCAACAGAAACUGAACAUACUACAUGUUUCAUGUGAAUUGAUAUACAUUUUCAAUAGAAUUUAAAACUUUUGUUCU
rnacentral:sRNA from 1 species